rnacentral:rRNA from 1 species
UACGUAGGGUGCAAGCGUUGUCCGGAAUUAUUGGGCGUAAAGAGCUCGUAGGCGGUUCGUCGCGUCGGAUGUGAAAAUCCGGGGCUCAACCCCGGACUUGCAGUGGGUACGGGCAGACUAGAGUGUGGUAGGGGAGACUGGAAUUCCUGGUGUAGCGGUGAAAUGCGCAGAUAUCAGGAGGAACACCGAUGGCGAAGGCAGGUCUCUGGGCCACUACUGACGCUGAGAAGCGAAAGCAUGGGGAGCGAACAGG